rnacentral:rRNA from 1 species
AGCGAACGCUGGCGGCAGGCUUAACGCAUGCAAGUCGAACGGGCACUUCGGUGCUAGUGGCAGACGGGUGAGUAACGCGUGGGAACGUGCCUUUCGGUUCGGAAUAAUCCAGGGAAACUUGGACUAAUACCGGAUACGCCCUUCGGGGGAAAGAUUUAUCGCCGAAAGAUCGGCCCGCGUCUGAUUAGCUAGUUGGUGAGGUAAAGGCUCACCAAGGCGACGAUCAGUAGCUGGUCUGAGAGGAUGAUCAGCAACAUUGGGACUGAGACACGGCCCAAACUCCUACGGGAGGCAGCAGUGGGGAAUAUUGGACAAUGGGCGCAAGCCUGAUCCAGCCAUGCCGCGUGAGUGAUGAAGGCCUUAGGGUUGUAAAGCUCUUUUGUCCGGGAAGAUAAUGACUGUACCGGAAGAAUAAGCCCCGGCUAACUUCGUGCCAGCCGCCGCGGUAACAC